rnacentral:rRNA from 1 species
UGGCUUGGCUAACUCCGUGCCAGCAGCCGCGGUAAUACGGAGAGGGCUAGCGUUAUUCGGAAUUAUUGGGCGUAAAGGGCGCGUAGGCUGAUUAGUAAGUUAAAAGUGAAAUCCCAAAGCUUAACUUUGGAAUUGCUUUUAAAACUGCUAAUCUAGAGAUUGAAAGAGGAUAGAGGAAUUCCUAGUGUAGAGGUGAAAUUCGUAAAUAUUAGGAGGAACACCAGUGGCGAAGGCGUCUAUCUGGUUCAAAUCUGACGCUGAGGCGCGAAGGCGUGGGGAGCAAACAGGAUUAGAUACCCUGGUAGUCCAC